UUUAAUUGAAGGCUGGAAUGAAUGGUUGAACAAAAAAUAGUCUGUCUCGUUGUUAAAAUUAAAAUUUGACUUUUAAGUAAAAAGGCUUAAAUAAAAUAGAAUGACGAUAAGACCCUAUAAAGCUUUAUAUUUAAAAAAUAACUAAUAAUUAAAAUUUAAAAAUUGUUUAUUUAGAAAAUAUUGUGUUGGGGCGACAAAAAUAAAAAUUGUAACUGUUUAUUUAUUAAAAACUUUUAAUAAAAGAAAAAAUGAUCCUUUAAUAAAGAUUAAAAGAUUAAGUUACUUUAGGGAUAACAGCGUAAUCUUUUUUGAGAGUUCAUAUCGACAAAAAGACUUGCGACCUCGAUGUUGAAUUAAGAAAUCCUUUUGGUGCAGCAGUCAAAAAG
rnacentral:rRNA from 1 species